AUUUUGUAUAUGUUCACAAGAAUUUUAAAAUUCUAUAUAUUAUCUCUGCAGAUUUAAAGAUUUGAACAGUAAAGAUAAUAGUUUAUUCUUAUGUUUGCUAUGGUGAAAAGUACAUAAUGUGUUUUAAAAUUUUGGGUUAUCUUGUUUACCGGAUUAUCUCUGCCCCACAGCGCGGAUUAUUGAUAUCCAGGGAUCGUUUAAACAAGCGUGAAAAUUCCAUAUGAGAAGGAGGUUAUAAAACAGUUUCUUCCGUAAAAAUCGGGCUAAUUGACUCCAUUUUCUCAUCUUUUAAUAUAAUUACGUUCCGCUAGAAAAUUCCCCGUUGGGUGACUUCGACGAUAACAGCAACAACAUAACCCAAUUUUGUUGCGGUAGAGAUGGCAACAAUUAAAUUUUAGAACGGUUCGACUCCACUCGGGAAUCACUUGUACUACUGGGUCUCGCCUAAUCGCGCAUGCGUCUCAUAUAUCGUUUAUCCUAUGUGACAAUUAAUGCGUUACCUGAUUGACUCACAUGAGCAACAGUGCGCACUGAGCUGAGGAAGUGUUUGGUGUUUGCGGAAGCCGAAGGACAACGAGCGUGGGAAAGAACAACCAGAUGGCUUAUAAGCUAACCUUAUAACGGAAACUAUUGUCAGUAGGGCUCCAUAAUAAUAAUUAGAAAGUGCGCAAGUUAUGCGCCCAAUUGUAUGUAAAUUGUGUAAGAUUUUCUAGCCCAUUUUUUCACCCUCCACAACAGACUAACUCUAGUAUAGUACAAAAUCAGUACUAUUGUCCAUGUUGAGGCUGAGGUCACGUCUUGUAGGUGGGGAGACUGUCACAAUGGAGAUUGCAGACCGCUUGUCUUGCCUGAGGAUAAGGUUGCAAAAAUUUUUUUUUCCUGUCUCUCUCUCCUUUUUCUUUUGCACUACUAGCAAACAAGUACGUCCACCAUUAAUAUUUUUAUUGUUAAUUCUAAGGAUGAAAUAUAUUUUUAUAAUUAUAACCAUUUCUUCUGUAAUGAUUGGGAUGUGCAUGUAAACUGUCU
rnacentral:lncRNA from 1 species